rfam:Octopus bimaculoides Scaffold74986_contig_2, whole genome shotgun sequence.
AUGUACCUGAAGAAACCCAGAAUGGGUCGAAACAUUUGUCGUACAC